rnacentral:rRNA from 1 species
UACGGGGGGGGCAAGCGUUGUUCGGAAUUACUGGGCGUAAAGGGCGCGUAGGCGGCCUGCUAAGUCGGACGUGAAAUCCCUCGGCUCAACCGGGGAACUGCGUCCGAUACUGGCGAGGCUUGAAUCCGGGAGAGGGAUGUGGAAUUCCAGGUGUAGCGGUGAAAUGCGUAGAUAUCGGGAAGAACACCCGUGGCGAAGGCGGCUCUCUGGGACGGUACUGACGCUGAGACGCGAAAGCGUGGGGAGCGAACAGG